rnacentral:lncRNA from 1 species
AUCACCACCGUUAUAGUCAAUAGUACUCAGUGAAAUCAGCACAUAGCAACCACCUUUAUACUCAAUGGUACCGGGUGAAAUCAACACAUAGCAACCACCUAUAUAACCAUUGGUAUCUGGUGAAAUCAGCACAUAACAACCACCUUUAUUUUCAUUAAUAUCGGGUGGAAUCAACACAUAGCAUCCACCUAUAUUUCCAACGAUAUCCGGCCCAUUCCAAAGGUUCAACCAUGAAUUAUCACUUUUUUUUAAUAUUUUUCCA